rnacentral:misc_RNA from 1 species
AGAAUGCUAGCAUGCCAGUGUCCCAUCGUUAACGGGUGGAGGAGAAGAGCAGGCGGAGGAGGAGAACGAUUUCUAUGGGAUUCUCAAAGUAAAUGGGCAAUUUUCAUGCACAUGGAGAAUCUACUUCUGCAGACUGAGUUCAGGCCAGACCUGCUCUGUCAAAGCCCGACAGAGAGACCCGAGAUGCCACAGAAAAUGGCUGAAACAUUUGGGAUUCUGGAAGGGACAGGCAGAGCGAAUGAGAGCUGUGGAAAUGAUAACCCCUCCAUGGGUCCAGACUUCACUGUCUAAAAGGUCACUCUAGACCCCCAGCUCAGGGUGAUGCCUGCUGCCUUUGAUCAGAGCCCUCCUGUCAUUGACUGUGACUCAGAUCUGCCCUCUCCACUCCAUCCUCAACCCCAAGAGUCUUCACACCAAUCUGCACCCCAGCUCCAAGCACAAGGCAUUACAAGAAGGUCCAGUGGUUCCUACUUUAGACUACACAACAAAAGAAAUGAAAACCCAGCCCACCGAGGCUUGGCCCCUGUGGGGAUUUCCUUCCCCUGCUCCAUCAGCCAGACAAGGCACCUGCAUCGUGGGUCCUUCAUUCCAUGUGAAUGGAAACCCCGGUCCCUGGCAGAAGUAUUCAUGCUUUGGUUGCAUUUAAAUUGCUGUUCUCUGGGCCAUUUUCAUCCCCUUCUUUUCCAGCCUCCAGCCUCUCAUUUCUGGGGCUCCCAGCCCUCCCUCUCUAAUGCACCCUUUUGUGUUGCUGCAAAUUGCCUUCAGUUCCAUCAAAGCAGACUGCCAGCUUUC